rnacentral:lncRNA from 1 species
AGCAUAAAAAUUCACAUCUAGUCACAAUCACCUGCUUGCUCCUGCUACGACUAAGGGAGAAUGUACUCAAACAACACUUCAGCCCAUAUGCCUAUUUGUCUGUCUACCUUCCUAAAGAUUUGGCCCAUUUUCUAUUCUAUUUGGGCUGCUUUUGAUUCUCAUGCCUGAGUUUUUUUUAUUAAACCUAGAUACAGUACAUUUCUAGAGUUUUUUUACUUCUCCUUCGAGAUCACCACUAUGUGGGAGAUAAAACGGAGGGGGAAAUUUUUGCACAUAUAUAUGGAUGUAGAAGCUGGUUUUGAAAUUGUAACUACUCAACCAAUAUAAAGAACAAAACAAAACAAAGCCUAAAAAUAAAAAAAACAUGAAAACUAUAUUAGUCUUCUUUUAAGACUAAAAAAGAAUAAGAAUGCAACGUGUCCAUAAAGUAUAAAAAUUCAUAGCUUUACAUCGGUACAUGAAAAUACCGCCAAGUGAAGAUCAGAAAUGGACAUGUGUCUCAAUUGCUCUUCAAAGGCCUGAAAAAUAGAGAGAAACAUGGAAAAUUUACAUACAGCACUACAUAAAAAAAUUUGGCUUACGGAAUAAAAAUAUUUCUAUAUGAUUAGUUGAAACUUUGUGAAUCUAAACUCAAAACUUUGUAGUCAUAGAUUAAUGCCUUCCAGCUGAGAUGGUACAUGCCUAUGUAUCAAACACCUACAAACUAAAAAUCUUUCUAUCAUACAUGAAAAUUUUUAUAUGACAUUACCAAAACUAUAUAUUAAAAGGUUUAAAAACUUUGUAACAGAAAAGUUUUGCCCUUUUAAAUGAAUGAAUUUCUACUAACAUCUAAAAAUUGAGUACACCCAUAACCAAAACUUUAAGAUCACAGAAACUUUGUACUCUGCAUUUGGGAACUUCGAACUUUGUGAAUGGAAAAAAACUUUCCAUCAUGGUCCUAAGAUUUUGUAAAAAAAAAAGCUUCAGAACCUUUAUAAAUUUGGACUACACAAAAAAUUGGACUUAAACAUUAGAAACUUUGUAAUACAAGCUUUAGAACCUUAUAAAAUACUAAAAGUUGUUGCGCUAUGAAUUCGCUAACUUUUAUGUGCUAGCAGUAUUUUGGUAAAACAAAAAGAAAAUUUUGUACUUCUUACCACCCAAAAGAGUAGAAUUCAACCCACAAACUUCAUAAUCCUAAUAACUCCCCAUAACAUUAUAAACUUUGCAUUAAACAUUAAAAAUAUUAUAAACUUUGCAUUAAAUUUAGGAACUUUAUACU